GGUGCUGUGUGGCAGCAGUGCUAGCCACUGUGCUGCCCCAUGGUGAGUCUGGAAAGGAAAGAACUCAAACAGUUCCAUGUCAGAGACAUGUAAGAGAAGAACUUCCUACUGCCACUCUCUGGGAGGAUGGUGCACAAUGAAUGAUUGAUUGAUUCUUUGUGUCUUGCAGUUCACAGAGGAAGAAGAUCUUGCUUGGCCUGUCUAUCACUGAUGAUAAUGAGUUGGGCAGUUUAAAGCUUGCGGAAAAAAUCUGUUUCCACCUAAUCAAUGAAAACCAGAAGGCAAUGCAAAAAAUUUCCAGACUAUUGAAUGAAGUUGUUGAGAUUUCAGACCAUCUGGAGCUGGUGGUAAAGCUGCAAGGAGAAGAACUAAAGAUACUGCAAGCUUCAGCUGAAGUAUUACAAAAUAUGAGAGUUACUCUUCCCAGAUGAUGAUCAGAAAGUGGAUCAUUGGCAAUAGUCCCUGUUGCUUGACUGUAAUCGGUGAUCAGACUUGAACAGGUGUUUGGCUCUGGGAAGACCACAUUGCUUAUUUAAUGAUUUAUUGUGAAUGUCUUUUUUUUUUUUGAAAAAAAAACUACAGUAAAUAGUCAUUCUGCUGUAAUUAAUGAAAAACUGGAAAGAUGAUCAGUAUGAACUCCCUACAGCAGACAAUGGAAAAUCAAAGGGAAGUGUUGCACAGUGAUCUAGGACAGUAGUUCCUCAGAUAUAAUUUGUUCUUAGGGCUUGAUUACAUUGGAACCCCUCCAGUGAAUUAUUGCCUUGCCCCUGGAAUAAAAGAAAGGAGGAGUGACACAUCCAGUUUAAGUAUGUAUUGUUAGGUUCUCAACAAUGAAACUACUGUUGCUUUAAAGUGGCUAUUUUUCUGAUAUUUAACAAAACUUACCUAUGUAAUGAAUCAAAACGUGUGUAUUGUACAUUUUGUAGUUAAACCUAUUAAAUCUGAUCAAUUGUCUAUCA